ACAAACUGAUGACAAUACGGUUCAUAAACAACAGUGUUGCUUCUCGAUAUAAAGUGUGAUUUACGUAAAGGAGCGCGAGGGUUACUCACGGGGCGGUUGCGAGGAAGGAAAUGUGAUUAUGUAAUACUCAUCACUUGAUUCAUAGUGUAUUGGGAACAACGCUUAAGAGAGGCUUGAUGGCGUGAGUUCGACAGCGGCCUCUCCUUAAUUCACUCAUCAUUAGUUAAUGGGGUGUGGAAGCCUCUUAAGGCUUCAGUCCUUCCCUUUUGACCUCUCGACCUGAGAGGAGGGAAUGACCCUGCCCUUUUUUUCCUGCACGUAAAAUAAUAAAAUGAAACGAUGGUGGUCCACUCAGCUCAAUCUCCAGUGGGUCAGCUCCGGUUUUAAUACUCGUCCAAUGUGGACUUGUGAAGCUCUUGAAGACAUUCAUUUUGUGGUGAAUGUAAACUCUACAUUAAACGCCUGUGGGUCACACCUACCAACUCCAUCACUGUUUGAUUUGUAAGUUGGUCGGUUGAUGAACCCGUCUCCGGUCCGCUGCACGACCCUCUCCGCCAUGACUGAGAACCCAGCCUUUGCUUUGUCUUCUUCCCUGGUUUCUGACUGCUAUGUGGUGUUGAAACCGCUCCAAGUGUCAUGAAUCCAGGGGUGUUGCCCUGAAGAUGCCUUCUCCCGUCUCCUUGUGCGGCGUGUCUUCUAUCGAGUUCUCCUUCUCCUUUUUUGAUAUCAGUCCUCACUCCCCUCCUUCCUCCCACUGCAGGGAGGACACUCAACUCCCUAAUCACUUCCCAUUCGUCCAACGGUUUACUGACAAUGCUCACUUUAUUUUGUAGGGAUAGUAUAAUAGGCCUGCGAUAAUAAUGAUGUGUCUGUGUUGUCUUGUGCGGGGGUUUGUUGUGUGUGUGUGUGGGUGGGUGUUGUGUUUUGCAAUCCUCGUUGCUUUUGUGGUUGUGUUGUUGCGUUGAUGUGUCGUUGUUGCGGUCGAGUUGUUGUGCGGUCGGGGUAGAUUGUGGUCGUGUAGUUGUGUGUGUAUCGUUGCGUGUGUGUGUGUGUGUUUUCUGACCCUUCCAGCUGUGUGGACCUUCGUGAGCUUUGUGAUCCCUCUUCACCUCUGUUUGUUUAAUAUAUCUCUGUGUAAUCUCUUGUCCUCCCUCCCCCCUCCCACCUUGUCCCCCCUUCUCAACCCCUCUCACCCCUUCCCGUAGAUGGCCUCAUCAUACUCAACUGGUCUGGAAUGUGCCGUGUGUACGUAAACCAAGAGAAACUCUGAUAACGGCUAAUCGGAAUGGAAUGAGACGCUGCUUGACCGCUAAUACACCACUA